rnacentral:rRNA from 1 species
UUUGAUCAUGGCUCAGAGUGAACGCUGGCGGCGUGCCUAAUACAUGCAAGUCGAACGUGAAAGUCCUUCGGGAUGAGUAAAGUGGCGCACGGGUGAGUAAUGGUUGAGAACGUGCCCUUAGGUGGGGAAUAACAGUUGGAAACGACUGCUAAUNNNNCAUGGUAUCGCAAGAUUAAAGGUGGGGACCGCAAGGCCUACCGCCAAAGGAUCGGCUCAACUCCCAUUAGCUAGUUGGCAGGGUAAUGGCCUACCAAGGCAACGAUGGGUAUGUGGUCUUAGAGGAUGAUCACACACACUGGAACUGAGACACGGUCCAGACUCCUACGGGAGGCAGCAGUAGGGAAUAUUGCACAAUGGAGGAAACUCUGAUGCAGCAACNNNNCGUGAGUGAAGAAGGCCCUUGGGUCNNNNNNNUCUUUAGCCUGNAAAGAAGUGCCUUUAGGUGAAUAAUCUUGAGGUGUGACGGUACCAGGAGAAUAAGGACCGGCUAAUUUCGUGCCAGCAGCCGCGGUAAUACGAAAGGUCCAAGCGUUACUNNNAAUUACUGGGCGUAAAGCGCGCGUAGGCGGUCUUGUAUGUCNAUUGNGAAAGCC